CGUCUCAGUUCGGACUGUGGUCUGCAACCCGACCACACGAAGCUGGAAUCGCUAGUAAUCGUGAAUCAGAAUGUCGCGGUGAAUACGUUCCCGGGUCUUGUACACACCGCCCGUCACACCAUGGGAGUCGGAAAUGCCCGAAGUCAGUGACCUAACCGAAAGGGAGGAGCUGCCGAAGGUGGAGCCGGUAACUGGGGUGAAGUCGUAACAAGGUAUC
rnacentral:rRNA from 1 species